GACGAACCGUGCGAACGUUGUUCGGAAUCACUGGGCUUAAAGGGCGCGUAGGCGGGCUCGCAAGUCAGGGGUGAAAUCCCACGGCUCAACCGUGGAAGUGCCUUUGAUACUGCGGGCCUUGAGGGAGGUAGGGGCGUGCGGAGCUUCCGGUGGAGCGGUGAAAUGCGUAGAUAUCGGAAGGAACACCGGUGGCGAAAGCGGCGCGCUGGACCUCUUCUGACGCUGAGGCGCGAAAGCGUGGGGAGCAAACAGG
rnacentral:rRNA from 1 species